rnacentral:lncRNA from 1 species
AAAAAGGAAUCUGGAAAAUUGAUCAAAGAAACGUCAACAGAGAACUUUCCUCCUGGGGGUAGUGCCUCAGCUACUGGAUUUACACUCUGAGUAGGAAUUUGCAAUAUUGUAACUGGUCUGAAGCUAAGAUAAGAUACUUAGAUAGGCAAGAAACAGCACAUUUCUUUGUGAUCCAUGAAUCAACCUAGUAUUGAUUCCAAGCUGUCAUUCCAUUGGGCUGGUAGGAAGGUGUACGUAAGGUAUUCUAGCAGUCUUGCUUUGCCAGCUCAACCAUACUCCCUCACUGUACCAAGGUUCUGGAGGCCUUUCCUCCCCAUGGGUCAUUUCUCCCACCCCACCUACUGAUGAUCUACCCAUUGUCUGUGUCUCCACAAUCCUAUCAAGUCUGGCAGGUUCUGACAGUUUCUCUGACACAUUUAAGACACUAGAAUAUUUGGCAAAGCUCUGAAACAAGGUGCCUAAGCCUCUGCUUCUCUAGAUGACCCACAUACCUCCUGUCUGGACUCUUGCUGCUUCCUGGGGUAAUGACUUGGAGCAGAGCCUGGCUCCCUCCUGCUUCUAGACCUAUGCUCCUCUUCUUCCCACCAUUGCCAGGUAAUCUCUAGUCUGACUGGAAUUUCCUCCCUCUUGCUCUUUCACCAUGUACUUUAAGUUCAUUAAAUCCAUAACUUGAAAAACAUGUUCCUCUUUUCUCCAGGGGAGGGAGGACUUACUUCACCAAAGAUGAGGAAAAAGAUUUGCAUUGCCUUUUCUAGUCCAUCAGAGGAAAAGUGAACAGACUUGAGGGGGGAGGAAGAAGGAUGGGCUGGGAGUUUGGGGUUGGUAGAUGCAAACUAUUACAUUUAGAAUGGAUACACAAUGAGGCCCUAUUGUUCAGCACAGGGAACUAUAUCCAGUCUCUUGAGAUAGACCAUGAUGGAAGAUAAUGUAAGAAAGGGAAUGUAUAUAUGUAUGACUGGGUCACUUUGCUGUGCAGCAGAAAUUGGCACAACACUGUAAAUCAACUAUAUUUAAUACCAAUAAAAUUUUUUAAAAGUUUAGCUAAUAAGUCACAAAAUAAAACAAAGUCAAUUUCUAGCCAAUGCUUUUUCAGGACACAAAUUUAUACUUUUUUUUUUUUUUCUUUUUAGGGCUGCACCCACUGCAUAUGGAAGUUCCCAGGCUAGGGGUCCAAUCAGAGCUACAGCUGCCGGCCUACACCACAGCCACAGCAACGCCGGCCUACACCACAGCCACAGCAACGCGGGAUCCGAGCCGCGUCUGCAACCUAAACCACAGCUCACAGCAACGCCGGAUCGUUAACCCACUGAGCAAGGGCAGGGACCGAACCCGCAACCUCAUGGUUCCUAGUCGGAUUCGUUAACCACUGCGCCAUGACAGGAACUCCAGCAAUGGCAUUUUUAGCAACAUGGAUGGACCUAAAAAUUAUCAUGCGAAGUGAAGUCAGUCAGACAAUGGGACGCCAACAUCAAAUGUUAUCACUGACAUGUGGAAUCUGAAAAAAGGACACAAUGAACUUCUUUGCAGAACAGAUACUGACUCACAGACUUUGAAAAACUUGUGGUUUCCAAAGGAGACAAUUUGGGGGGUGGGGGGAUGUGCUGGGGGUGUGGGAUGGAAAUCGUAUAAAAUUGGAUUGUGAUGAUCAUUGUACACCUAUAAAUGUAAUAAAUUCAUUGAGUAAUAAAAAGAAACCAGACCAAAC